GAAAUUUUGAAAGUAAGCGGCGGCGUCUGGUUUUUCACGGACCUCGUUUCACCAACGGGGGUGGGUUGGCGAGAGGCGGUAGAACGAGGAGCACAGAGACGUCUCGUUUCCGACGGCGUUACCGCGUUGAGUCGCGCGGAAUAGAGAUUGUUCGAGCGAUGGAACGACUCCGGUCGAGACACAAGGUAGCUGUUUGGCGAGGAUGAGAAAAGAGGAAUGGGGCUGAUUAAUUGUUUGAUGUACGCUAUCAGUGAAAAAUAGAGUUGUUUAAAAAAGUAUUCGAAUACCAGUAGAAAUUUUUUAUGAAGAUAAUCUAUUAAUGAAACAUUUUGGAAUUUCACGAGCACCGUAGUGAUUAUGUAACAACCCAUCAUGAUUCGUACAAAAGCAAAGAAGACAUCGAACAGAACGGGCUUGCAGCGGUUCCAAAAAACGGUCUCAUUGGGCUAACGAGAAGCGAUCGCAAUUGCAGCGAAUAAUAGCGAAACGUUUCACGGAGAGCAGCCGGUACGACCUCCCGAGGUCCAUGAACGAGCGAUCGAACUCCGCCGCUGCUGUCAGUUGCCACGACGCACGACGCGCGUUUCAAGAAUACAAAAGGGUGAAGAAAAAGGGAGAAACAUGAGAAAAGAAAGAAGGGAAAGGAAAAACAGCGGCACGGGUCAGCCGGUGAAACAAGAGCAAGAAAGAGAGGAGAGGCUCGCGGACAGAGAAAAAAGCUGGAGG